UCCAUUCUUUAACCAAACCACAAUGAUCAUUGUAAAAACCUGGUAAUGAUAACAAAAUAUACAGCUUUGGUCCGGAGCAUAACAGUGAUCUAACGGUGCAACGCUUUUAUUUAGCUAUUCAUCACCACAUCGAUAAUUAAUUAAAAAGAGAGAGAGAAUUAGGCAGUUCAAUUUAACAUCCACCACCACAACCACCACCACUGCAGCCGCCACCACCACAUCCUCCACUAUCGACAGCCAUUGCUGCUCCUAUAACUGCUCCACCAUCAGUUUUUCCACUGCUUCUGGAAUUUCGAUAGACAUCACGAUGUGGAAGAUGAGUUUUGGCAGUCUUUGCAGCCAAGGGACGCUUCUUUUUCUUGCCAUUGAUCCCGAAACAACGCAAUAGUCCACUUACUACAGCCACAGAGAUACAAACUAUGAGUUGUUACUAGACGAAAAAUAAAGACAAUGAGUUGAAAUUCGAGACUUACAUCCACCCAUAAUUGAUCAAGUACUUCUCUGAAACUGAAUUCUUACACCUGCACAAUACGAUAGGUUACAUUGUUAUACUUCUAAAAUUGAACAAAAUUAAUUGUAGAAGAAAAAGAAAAGAUAAACCUCAAAUUCGAA
rnacentral:lncRNA from 1 species